GAUGAACGCUGGCGGCGUGCCUAAUACAUGCAAGUCGAGCGAAUGGAUUAAGAGCUUGCUCUUAUGAAGUUAGCGGCGGACGGGUGAGUAACACGUGGGUAACCUGCCCAUAAGACUGGGAUAACUCCGGGAAACCGGGGCUAAUACCGGAUAACAUUUUGAACCGCAUGGUUCGAGAUUGAAAGGCGGCUUCGGCUGUCACUUAUGGGUGGACCCGCGUCGCAUUAGCUAGUUGGUGAGGUAACGGCUCACCAAGGCAACGAUGCGUAGCCGACCUGAGAGGGUGAUCGGCCACACUGGGACUGAGACACGGCCCAGACUCCUACGGGAGGCAGCAGUAGGGAAUCUUCCGCAAUGGACGAAAGUCUGACGGAGCAACGCCGCGUGAGUGAUGAAGGCUUUCGGGUCGUAAAACUCUGUUGUUAGGGAAGAACAAGUGCUAGUUGAAUAAGCUGGCACCUUGGCGGUACCUAACCAGAAAGCCACGGCUAACUACGUGCCAGCCGCCGCAGUAA
rnacentral:rRNA from 1 species